rnacentral:lncRNA from 1 species
CAUUCUCUGGGGUUCACUGGAAGUGUUUUCCUUGUUUCUCACAGUUGCAUCACUUCCUCAGCCUUAGAUAUGAGUCCACAAUAUGACAUAUGAGCAAAACAUCACCAGCCAAACAGGGCCGAGACAGCUCAGCUAAGGCAGCAGUGGCUCUGGAGCACUCUCCAGUCACUCUUGGUAAGUAACUGAGGCUAAAACAUUGACGUCUUGAGAAAACAGGGGGGACCUACACGUCACAGCUUUGGAGGGACUAAUUUUGAGGGAAAUAUUAAAGAGAAAAAAGUGGAAAUCUGUUAUCUGACAAUUAAAUUUAGGGCAUAAACCUGCUAAUCUUUGAAAAAAAGAUAGAGAAAAUAUAAGAAGGAAAAAGUAUUUUUGACUCAGCAAGAGCCAGACUAAUGACAUGACACUAACAAAAAGCAAUGUUUUCCUAGAGAAACUGGUAAAAAAAAUAUUUAUCCUUAAAAACCACCAAACAAAGACUGAGCAACAUAGAUUGGGUAAAACAUUCAAAAUGGAAUAAUCCUCCAUUUACAGUAGGAUGGAUGGACAGUGAUGGGGAAAUGUAAUGCAUCUUUCUAGCUCUAUUUUAUUAUUCUAACAGUAGAACAUCAAAUUAAGUUAUUGCUAAAGUAGUUAGUUGACUUGUAAUGUUCAAUUUCCACUAGCUUUUGGCUUUUCAGACGUUUUCUCUCCCUGGACUGAAAUGGCUUGUGCUUAGCGUUAAACAAAACCAACGUGCUUAUCUAUUUGAAAAAUUGAGAAAAAGCUUUUUUCUUCAGUCAAGAGAAUGGAGCAAAAGAGAUACUUCUGCUAGUACACAUGUACAUGCACCCAUACCGAAAUGACAAAAGAUGAUGUCUCCUGACACAAACACUUAAUAGCACUUUUGUAUGUAGGUGUCUGUAGAUACAACAAGGUCCCACGUGCCUGUUUGAAGCUCCCAGAUGUUGCAGCCGGUGUACCUGGCAUGCUGCAGGGCACUGAAGCAUAGCAAUAGAGGUGUGUGUAUUGUGGAAAAAGGGGUCACACGAUGCGUGUCAGCUGUAUGUCUUGGAAGUUGCUCAUCAGAGCCCCAACAAAAGGUAAGAAGGGCUCCUUGCUGCAGUAAGCACAGCAAAACUGUCAUGGCUUAGCAGGCUGUAGAGCAGAAGAGUGCCUGUGAACCUUUGGGUGACCAGUUUAGGACAGAGGGGUCUGUGAGGAGCUUUUCCUGCUCUGUUCUGGUGAGCCCUAUCUCACCCACCAGGACGGAUCUUACUGGGGAGGAGGGCUGGAAAAGCACAUCUUUGGUUUCAGUGAGCACCUUGUACUGGAGCAGAGAGCUCACCAGAUGCUCUCAAAGUUUCUCAUGGGCACUGAAGACUGUUUAUGUAUAUAAAUGUAUCCAAAUCAAUUCCCUUCCCUUUACUGCCUGAUUUCUUCUAACCUUGGUUAGAUCUUGUUUGAUCUCUUAGUUAGAUUCCCGUUCUCCUUCUCUUUCUCCUAAACUCUUUCCACUUGCAUUCCCUAUCUUUUUCUCCCUCUUUUGCAUUUUGUCUUUCCUACGCAUUCCUAGGUGUUGUUUUGUUUGUUUGUUUGUUUUUGUUUUUUGUUUUGUUUUUAUCUUUCUUUAUUACAGCGAAAUAAGGGGACUUCAGAGUUAGCAAGUCAGAGUGCUGAAAUCUAAUAUUAUUAGCAUGACACCCAUUUACAGCGUCGCUUUGGAGAAAUCCACCUCAUGAAAUGUCUGGGCUUCUUGAUCUGAAGAGCUGAGAUGACGAAUACCAAUUGCAAAGACAGUUGGCCAUAGCAGUUAAUGUUUGUGCAACACUUCACGUAUCUAAGCAUUGUAUCUGCUCUUCACCACAAGAAAGACUUGGAGCUGCUGCCACUGUGACCAAGCCAGUCUCUGAAUGUGAUGAUUAAUGAGCUAAUAGCAGUAUUUUGCUGCUGAAGUUAAUGCUGCUUCCUGAGGGCAACACGCCUGAUGAGAGAACUUGUAGCAGUCCAUACGCUAUAUUGAUUCGAAAUGCCACUGUAUGCUUUAAUUAGCUUUUAACCAUUACAAAGUUGGGCUUCAAAUGAAGAUGGCACAUAUGCUUGUGCGGCAAAUGCCUGCACCAAAAAGGUAAUCGUAAGGCAAAGUUAUCGACC